GAUGAACGCUGGCGGCGUGCUUAACACAUGCAAGUCGAACGAAGCACUUAAGAUUGAUUCUUCGGAUGACGUCUUUUGUGACUUAGUGGCGGACGGGUGAGUAACGCGUGGGUAACCUGCCUCACACAGGGGGAUAACAGUUAGAAAUGACUGCUAAUACCGCAUAACCCGAUAGGAUCGCAUGAUCCAGACGGAAAAGAUUUAUCGGUGUGAGAUGGACCCGCGUCUGAUUAGCUAGUUGGUGAGGUAACGGCCCACCAAGGCGACGAUCAGUAGCCGGUCUGAGAGGGUGAACGGCCACAUUGGGACUGAGACACGGCCCAAACUCCUACGGGAGGCAGCAGUGGGGAAUAUUGCACAAUGGGGGAAACCCUGAUGCAGCGACGCCGCGUGAGUGAAGAAGUAUUUCGGUAUGUAAAGCUCUAUCAGCAGGGAAGAAAAUGACGGUACCUGACUAAGAAGCCCCGGCUAACUACGUG
rnacentral:rRNA from 1 species